UUUUCUUUGAACGUAGAUAAGAGAUCUUAAAAGCCAAAGAGAUGAUAGGAGUAGCUCGCUAAAGCCCUUCGCCCCGGAAAGAAAGUUUCUUUGUGACUCUACCUGGGGAAGCAAGAAAGCAUUCCUGCGAAGCUAAGCAGGAAGAAAGGGUUGGGAAUAGAAUAGAAAGUACACAGGAUGGAGCUCGAAUCCCAUCGUUUUCCAAGAGACCCGAACCUAAUCUCGAAAAGCUCUGGGCAUGCCGGCACGGGUUAUUUCCACAAAUGGGACUGGUUAUCCUACGUUCUAUUGAGUGGGGACUUCACAACUCGCUGGUUGAUCAUCAUUGGGAGGUUUCUCCAGACACAGAGGCUAGGAACAUUCUUCUCUUAACAGAUGAAAGGGGGA
rnacentral:lncRNA from 1 species